GCCUGGAGAUAACGAAUGGCUGGACCUGCUGAUAGAUCAAGUCGUCUCCCUCCACCCUCAGCGCCCUCAGCACCCGUGCCUAGGCAUCCCAGCUGUGGGUGCUGCUCAGCUGGCGGCCACACAGGGGCGCUCACGGUCGAGGCCCUCUAGGAGGGGCGAAGAAGGGACCUCCCGGCCCGCUCAUGGUUUCCAUGACGGCAGGACCACGUGAUCCUCCUCUCUUCCCGCCUACUCCUCCGGUUCAUAAAUAAUGUUCCUGAUUGAAAACUGCUCCCCAAGGAAGGGCAAGAGAAAGGUUUCGUGCUAAGCUGCUUGUCCUGGGCAUCUGAGCUGCCAUGAGGCAAACAGGCCUGCUCCACACCCUUCCACCGUAACAUCCUGAGCUGCCACAGGCCCAGAGCCACCGGGGACCAAGUGGCCAUGGAUGGAAACUUGGAGAAACCCCUUCAGCUGUACGUCCCUCAGCCUCUCCGUGCCUGAGAAGUGGGGUGACGAUGCCUCUCCGAGCCUAUGAAGUGGGGUGACGAUGCCUCUCCAUGUCUGAGAAGUGGGGUCCCUCAGCCUCUCCAUACCUGUGAAGUGGGGUCCCUCAGCCUCUCUGUGCCUAUGAAGUGGGGUGACGAUGCCUCUCCGUGUCUGUGAAGUGGGGUGACGAUGCCUCUCCGUGUCUGUGAAGUGGGGUCCCUCUACCUCUCUGUGCCUGAGAAGUGGGGUCCCUCUACCUCUCCGUGUCUGUGAAGUGGGGUCCCUCUACCUCUCCGUGUCUGAGAAGUGGGGUCCCUCAGCCUCUCCAUGCCUGAGAAGUGGGGUCCCUCAGCCUCUCCAUGCCUGAGAAGUGGGGUCCCUCAGCCUCUCCAUGCCUGAGAAGUGGGGUCCCUCUACCUCUCCGUGUCUGUGAAGUGGGGUCCCUCAGCCUCUCCAUGCCUGAGAAGUGGGGUCCCUCUACCUCUCCGUGUCUGUGAAGUGGGGUCCCUCUGCCUCUCCGUGCCUGAGAAGUGGGGUCCCUCAGCCUCUCCGUGCCUGAGAAGUGGGGUCCGUCAGCCUCUCUGCCUGUGAAGUGGGGUGACAAUGCCCUUCUUCUGGAUCACUCUGAGGACUAGAUUUCUUCAUGAUUAGUCAGAAGCGAAUGGAACCCAUACAGCUCUCUAGCUACAACAGUUACAUAUGGCAGUGUUCACAAGCACUCACGAGAGUGUGUGUGUGUGUGUGUGUGUGUGUGUCUGUCUGUCUGUCUGUGUGAACACACAUGCCUGUGGCACCCAGAGGUCAGUCUCUAGUAAGCAGGCCGGGUGGCCAGUGAAUACUGAGGAUCUGCCUGCCUAGCACUGGGAUGGCAAGCAUUCACCGCGGCAGGCUUUUCCCGGUGACGGUGACGGCAGCAGGUUUGGUGGCGUUGGAUGGCAGAAACACUCACACAGCGUGUGCCAGGCACGACCCGAACCCCUGCGGUGGGUGGUCAACUCAAGGUAUGGGAUUCUCCCACUUGACAGGCGAGGAAACCGAGGCACCGAGAGAUGAAGGAAGGUGCCCAUGGUGGCACGGCUGUUGAGUGGCAGAGGCUGGGUGAUGACCCAGUGUCAGCCCCCUCCUUUCCGCCGUCUCUCAGGGGAAAGAGCGCACCUCGGGGUAGCUUGAAGUGAAGGGCUCU